rnacentral:rRNA from 1 species
AAUAGAUACCCGGGUAGUCCACGCCGUAAACGAUGAGUGCUAAGUGUUGGAGGGUUUCCGCCCUUCAGUGCUGCAGCUAACGCAUUAAGCACUCCGCCUGGGGAGUACGGUCGCAAGACUGAAACUCAAAGGAAUUGACGGGGGCCCGCACAAGCGGUGGAGCAUGUGGUUUAAUUCGAAGCAACGCGAAGAACCUUACCAGGUCUUGACAUCUCCUGACCGCCCUGGAGACAGGGUCUUCCCUUCGGGGACAGGAUGACAGGUGGUGCAUGGUUGUCGUCAGCUCGUGUCGUGAGAUGUUGGGUUAAGUCCCGCAACGAGCGCAACCCUUGGUUCUAGUUGCCAGCAUUCAGUUGGGCACUCUAGAGCGACUGCCGGCGACAAGUCGGAGGAAGGUGGGGAUGACGUCAAAUCAUCAUGCCCCUUAUGACCUGGGCUACACACGUGCUACAAUGGAUGGUACAAAGGGCAGCGAAGCGGCGACGCAUGAGCGAAUCCCAGAAAACCAUUCUCAGUUCGG